rnacentral:rRNA from 1 species
UACGUAGGGCGCAAGCGUUGUCCGGAAUUAUUGGGCGUAAAGAGCUCGUAGGUGGUUUGUCGCGUCUGUCGUGAAAGCCCGGGGCUUAACUCCGGGUCUGCGGUGGAUACGGGCAGACUAGAGGUAUGCAGGGGAGAACGGAAUUCCUGGUGUAGCGGUGAAAUGCGCAGAUAUCAGGAGGAACACCGGUGGCGAAGGCGGUUCUCUGGGCAUUACCUGACGCUGAGGAGCGAAAGUGUGGGGAGCGAACAGG